rnacentral:lncRNA from 1 species
GUUUGUCUGAUUCUUCUUUGUGUAGCCUUGCAUUGGUGCCUGUUCAUUUGAAGGAGAAAACUCCUAUUCCAGUCAUUACUGACUGAUUUUACCAGGAUUACUUAUUCUCUGUGGCUGGAGAGAAUGGAGCUGGAUUACAGAACUGCUUUGUACUGCACAAGGGCAUUGAGGUCAUUGGGCCUGGCUUUGAGCAGUGGUGUCUUCUGGAAGGUCCCUGGUCAGGCAACACUGCUCUUAAACAGCAGAAGAAAGAAUCUGAAGCCAAGUAACAUAUUCGUUUGGGGAUCUGCUGUAGGACUGAAAUCUACAAGACUGCUUCUGGGGACAUGGACAGGCAUGACACCCUGCACAUCCCUGAGCAAGAAAGACUACUUGUAGAUGAUGGCCAAGAGGAGAUGGAGCUGGGUUACAGAGCCAUUUUAGAGUUCACAGCUGGGACAAGAUUUGGCAGGCCUGUCAUCCAAGGCAUAGUGAGUGUGACUCUUCCCAGGUCUCUUAGCAGGUGGUUCUGGUGGCAGCAACAGACCCAAAUCAUGUUAUAAUCAAGUCCACUUGAGGAAAAUGUCAUUUCUGGGUCGGUAGGUGAGACCAUGGUUGGUGAGCCUACCACCUGGGUGCAAGCCUGUUCUCUCAAACAGCCCUCCUCAGUCUUGGGAUCCACUGGGGUUUUGCAACAUUCUAACUGGGACUCAAGGCUACAAAAAGGGCACUUCUCUUUGUGAAUGGUUGCCAAAUUUUUAUUACUGUGGGAGGAUGCUAGUGUUAAACAUGCUACUGUGCUAUCCUGCUAAAAUUACUUCUCCAUUUGUUACUUCUUAAGCUGCAUUGUGUAUUUUCCUUUUAGAAAUCAUUCUUUACAGAGAAUGAUGGCUUCCAGUCGGGAAGUGGGGGCCAGAGGAGAAAGAGCAUUAGGACAAAUACCUAAUGCAGGUGGGGCUUAAAACCUAGAUGAUGGGUUGAGAGGUGCAGCAAACAACCAUGGCACAUGUAUACCUAUGUAAUAAACUUGCACUUUCUGCACAUGUAUUUCAGAACUUAAAGUAAAAUUUUAAAAAAAGAAAUCCUUCUUUACCCAUUUACCAAUGACUUGGUGAAGUCGUCAAUCAAGAUACUGAAACUGAACUCUUCUUUCCAUAAUGGUAAUUUCAUAGCCUUAGGCUGACCAAUCAGAUCAC